UCGGAGAGGGAGCCACCAGCAACGUCGACAACUUUUAGCUCCACUAGUAUUCUAACCUGUCUCUCUUCUUAAACUUUCAUUCUCGACCCUUUCGUUUCGUAUUUGAAAAAAGUAUUAUUUGUGAUUAAUUAAAAGCGGCAUAUAGCAAUUAGAGUGAAAAAUGAAUCAUUUACGGUGUUGUUCUCGUUGCGUAUUGAGUGGUAAACGAGUGACAAGUCUUUUUUAUACAGCAGGCAACGGAAGAUGGAUCGCAAGAUGGAUGGGACCGGCUAUAAGAGAAUUGGUGAAACGCCAGCAGAGAGCAGGCCCGCAACCGGAAUCAUUAAGGAGGCAUUAUUUGGAAUGGAACGAGGAUGCCGAAUUGUACGCUUUCAACAGCAGACUUUCCGAACGUUUCGAGCCUGGGCUUCUGGCUAGAGCUUUUACAUUCAACUCUUAUCUCGUUAGAGAAGCGCGUGAGCAGCAAAAAGUUGGAAUAGAGUCACCGAUAUUCGAGUCGCAGGACAAUUCGGACUUGAUAGAACACGGCAAAAAAACUGGCAGACGAAUUGUGACGGCCUAUCUGGGAGCGGCUCUCCCUCGUGCCCCCCAAGAAUGCAUAGACGCUCUGCUCGAUUACCUACUUUCUCCGGCGGUUGUUGCAAAGGCGGCUUCCCUCAUCGGCACCAAAGAUCUCAUCCUUACCGCCGAAUCUCCGAUUUCGGAGGAUACUCUGUCUUGCACGUUUUUCGCCCUUGUCGGUGCUUUGGAGCAAAGUCCGAAUGUCAAUUCCAUUCACGUUGUCAAGUUCAUCCGUGAUUUUUUGAUAGCCUGUCUCCACGAAAAAGAAAUCACCGCGAUAUGGCGUCCGAGAGAGCCCGAGAAUGUACUCGAUGAUAUUCUCUUGAGAGAAAAUCUGGAGGAAGCCGAACCACGACUGAUAGGCCAGGCAGGAGUGCACAGCUUGCUCGCUGUCUAUCGCGUUGCUUUUUAUUCUAACCAACAAUUUUUGGGAAGCGGUUACGGCGAAACGAUUGAGGAAGCGAAAGAGGCCGCUGCCGUCGAUUCUUUGAACCGUAUGUUUGGCCUGGCGGAUUUCUGCAAACCGAUACCUUAUGAUUUGGUGAUGGACGCCAAUUCCGAGGUUGAAACGAAAAAUCUCCCGCUCGCACGGUGGUGCAGCGAAAAUGUAAAUAGAUUGAUGAACCGGUAAAAGAGGCGCUACAUAAAACGAGUCUCUUUAUUUUUCUCGCAUCUCGGCAUUGGACCAAACGCGCUAUGAAACUUGAAGGGACGCAAUCGUCGUCGUGGGUCGUGAACCGCAUCGAUGACCACCGUUAUAAUUCCCUAGACUAACAACCAUGGAAUACCAUAUCUCGCCGACAUAGCAUAUGUAAAAGAGAGAGGACUCGUCGAAUAAAAAAGUUGGAAAGGCGAGUA
rnacentral:misc_RNA from 1 species